UACGUAGGGGGCGAGCGUUGUCCGGAGUACUGGGCGUAAAGCGCACGCAGGCGGUCUGCUAAGUUUGGAGUGACAGUUGGUGGCUUAACUGCCAAAGUGCUUCGAAAACUGACAGACUUGAGGGCUUCAGAGGGACACGGAAUUCCGGGUGGAGUGGUGAAAUGCGUAGAGAUCCGGAGGAACACCAAAGGCGAAGGCGGGUCCCUGGACAACACCUGACACUGAGGCACGAAAGCUAGGGGAGCAAACAGG
rnacentral:rRNA from 1 species